rnacentral:rRNA from 1 species
AUUGAACGCUGGCGGCAGGCCUAACACAUGCAAGUCGAGCGGAGCGGCGGACGGGCGAGUAAUGCCUAGGAAUCUGCCUGGUAGUGGGGGAUAAGGUCCGGAAACGGGCGCUAAUACCGCAUACUAUCAGAUGAGCCUAUGGCGGAUUAGCUAGUUGGGGGGGUAAAGGCCAACCAAGGCGACGAUCCGUAACUGGUCUGAGAGGAUGAUAAGUCACACGGGAACUGAGACACGGCCCAGACUCCUACGGGAGGCAGCAGUGGGGAAUGUUAGACAAUGGGCGAAAGCCUGAGCCAGCCAUGCCGCGUGUGUGAAGAAGGUCUUCGGAUUGUAAAGCACUUUCAGUUGGGAGGCGUUACCAACAGAAUAAGCACCGGCUAACUUCGUGCCAGCAGCCGCGGUAAUUC